UACGUAGGGUGCAAGCGUUAAUCGGAAUUACUGGGCGUAAAGCGUGCGCAGGCGGUGAUGUAAGACAGUUGUGAAAUCCCCGGGCUCAACCUGGGAACUGCAUCUGUGACUGCAUCGCUGGAGUGCGGCAGAGGGGGAUGGAAUUCCGCGUGUAGCAGUGAAAUGCGUAGAUAUGCGGAGGAACACCGAUGGCGAAGGCAAUCCCCUGGGCCUGCACUGACGCUCAUGCACGAAAGCCUGGGGAGCAAACAGG
rnacentral:rRNA from 1 species